rnacentral:snRNA from 1 species
GUGUUCACUUCAGCAGCACAUAUACUAAACUUGGAAUGAUACAGAGAAGAUUAACAUGGCCCCUGUGCAAAGAUAGCAUGAAAAUUCAUGAAGUGUUCCAUAUUUUA